rnacentral:misc_RNA from 1 species
UACGGGGGGGGCAAGCGUGGUCCGGAAUUACGGGGCGUAAAGGGCUCGUAGGCGGCCAACUAAGUCGGAUGUGAAAUCCCCAGGCUCAACCUGGGGACUGCAUCCGAUACUGGAUGGCUUGAAUUCGGGAGAGGGAUGCAGAAUUCCAGGUGUAGCGGUGAAAUGCGUAGAUAUCUGGAGGAAUACCGGUGGCGAAGGCGGCAUCCUGGACCGAUAUUGACGCUGAGGAGCGAAAGCUAGGGGAGCAAACGGG